rnacentral:rRNA from 1 species
AUUGAACGCUGGCGGCAUGCUUUACACAUGCAAGUCGAACGGUAACAGGCCUUCGGGUGCUGACGAGUGGCGAACGGGUGAGUAAUGCAUCGGAACGUACCCAGAGGUGGGGGAAAACGCAGCGAAAGCUGUGCUAAUACCGCAUGUGAUCUGAGGAUGAAAGCGGGGGACCGAGCAGCAAUGUUUGGCCUCGCGCCUUUGGAGCGGCCGAUGUCGGAUUAGCUAGUUGGUGGGGUAAAGGCCUACCAAGGCGACGAUCCGUAGCUGGUCUGAGAGGACGACCAGCCAAACUGGGACUGAGACACGGCCCAGACUCCUACGGGAGGCAGCAGUGGGGAAUUUUGGACAAUGGGCGCAAGCCUGAUCCAGCAAUGCCGCGGGCGGGAAGAAGGCCUUCGGGUUGUAAACCGCUUUUGGCAGGAACGAAACGGUGUCCGCUAAUACCGGGCGCGAAUGACGGUACCUGCAGAAUAAGCACCGGCUAACUACGUG